rnacentral:rRNA from 1 species
GUCUAUGGUCAUAUUGCCCUGAAAGUGUCCCAUUUCGUCUAACCAUGGCCCAUCCUGCUUUAGUACCACCUUGGUUAGUAUCUGGAUGGGAGAUCACCUGGUAAAACUGGGUGCGGUAGGCU